rnacentral:misc_RNA from 1 species
UGGAGGGUGUGUCUAGUGGAGGGUUUCCUUUUGUUGAGUUAGGAUUGAAGGAGACUAAGCGAUUUCCUUUUCCGUCUGUUGAUCAUGUGCACAUCUAUUGAAGGUUUUCUUUUUCAGAAGCUGCGGAUUUCAAACAAGAUGUCAUUUUAAAAUGGUUUGUAAAUGGACGAUGCUGAUUCCGUCUUUUCUGUGUGAUUUUUAUCAUUUGAUGUAUCUGUGAUAUUUUGUUGUCUUGACAACAGCUGGCUGUUGUCAAGGUAUAUCAAUGACAGAAUGAAUGUGAUUGAAUGAAUCACGAGUACCAAUAUUGCACAAUAAAUAAAAGUUUAUA